rnacentral:rRNA from 2 species
UACGGAGGAUGCAAGCGUUAUCCGGAAUCAUUGGGCGUAAAGCGUUCGUAGGUGGCUGUGCAAGUCUGCCGUUAAAGACAGUGGCUUAACCACUGAAAGGCGGUGGAAACUGCACAGCUAGAGUGCGGUAGGGGUAGAGGGAAUUCCCGGUGUAGCGGUGAAAUGCGUAGAGAUCGGGAAGAACACCAGUGGCGAAAGCGCUCUACUGGGCCUGCACUGACACUGAGGGACGAAAGCUAGGGGAGCGAAUGGG